CUGCAGAUUCCCAAGAUGUUCACGAGCUUGUGCUUUCUAAAGAAGAUUUUGAGAAGAAGGAGAAAAAUAAAGAGGCAAUAUAUAGUGGAUAUAUUAGAAACAGAAAGCCCUCUGAUUCUGUUCACAUUACAAAUGAUGAUGAAAGAUUUCUACAUCAUCUUAUCAUAGAGGAGAAGGAAAAAGAUAGCUUUACUGCUGUGGUUAUCACAGGGGUACAACCAGAACACAUACAGUACUUGAAAAAUUAUUUCCACCUUUGGACACGACAGUUAGCGCAUAUUUAUCACUACUAUAUUCAUGGCCCAAAAGGAAAUGAAAUACGAACAUCAAAAGAAGUUGAACCUUUCAACAAUAUUGAUAUUGAAGUAAGAGAAAAAUCCAUCUUAAAAUAAUAAAAAUUAUGAGAUAUUUGUUCCAGUUCCAAAUGACUCAGGAUAAUAAAAAACACUUGAUAAUUAG
rnacentral:lncRNA from 1 species